rnacentral:rRNA from 1 species
AGCGAACGCUGGCGGCAUGCCUAACACAUGCAAGUCGAACGAGACCUUCGGGUCUAGUGGCGCACGGGUGCGUAACGCGUGGGAACCUGCCCUUAGGUUCGGAAUAACUCCCCGAAAGGGGUGCUAAUACCGGGUAAUGUCUUCGGACCAAAGAUUUAUCGCCUUUGGAUGGGCCCGCGUUGGAUUAGCUAGUUGGUAGGGUAAAAGCCUACCAAGGCGACGAUCCAUAGCUGGUCUGAGAGGAUGAUCAGCCACACUGGGACUGAGACACGGCCCAGACUCCUACGGAAGGCAGCAGUAGAGAAUAUUGGACAAUGGGCGAAAGCCUAAUCCAGCAAUGCCGCGGGUGUGAUGAAGGCCUUAGGGUUGUAAAGCUCUUUUACCCGGGAUGAUAAUGACAGUACCGGGAGAAUAAGCUCCGGCUAACUCCGUG